AUUGAACGCUGGCGGCAGGCCUAACACAUGCAAGUCGAACGAGUGGCGGACGGGUGAGUAAUGUCUGGGAAACUGCCCGAUGGAGGGGGAUAACUACUGGAAACGGUAGCUAAUACCGCAUACCAUCGGAUGUGCCCAGAUGGGAUUAGCUAGUGGGGGGGGUAACGGCUCACCUAGGCGACGAUCCCUAGCUGGUCUGAGAGGAUGACAGGCCACACUGGAACUGAGACACGGUCCAGAGUCCUACGGGAGGCAGCAGUGGGGAAUAUUGCGCAAUGGGCGCAAGCCUGAUGCAGCCAUGCCGCGUGUAUGAAGAAGGCCGUCGGGUUGUAAAGUCCUUUCAGCGAGGAGGCGUUACUCGCAGAAGAAGCACCGGCUAACUACGUGCCAGCAGCCGCGGUAAUUC
rnacentral:rRNA from 1 species